GGGCUUGAGAAACGGAAAUACCAGCGCCCUCCAGCCAACCGUGUGAGGACUGAUUGCUGGGGAGCUGGCCCUCCAGAUGCUGCACUGGAGGCGCUGCAAGCGUGAGCAGGUGGCUGUGGACCUACCUCACAGGUCGAGGCAGGUGUUCUCACUCUUCCUAUUCCAACUUCCUUACCUCUCCCUACAAGACGUGCCCCGGAGCCUCAGCCCCGUGGUUACUACCACACCGCGAUGUAAAGCUGUUGUUUAUCAGGGAGCUUUGGCAAGAGGAUUGGCUAGAUCAGCAAGACAUCUGCACCAUGGAAAAACAACGUGAAGCUCAUCUCUAUGGAUGUUUUCUUAUGCUUUUAUAAUGUCUGCAGCUAUGGACAUAGGCAUGGCCAAAGGAGAGUCUGUAUCCCAGACAAGCAAAGGAAUCACCCAAAUGAUGAGAGCAGCAGCCCUUGUAGGAUUAGUUCAAACGUGCUGGAGAUAAUCGAUUUAAGCAAG